rnacentral:sRNA from 1 species
AUUAAAAGAGAUUACGGGGUGGGGGAGUGUAAAUGUAACACGAAUUUGAGUGAGAUAACCGUCACAUAAGGGUCUACCUGUGAGAAAAAUGUAAGUACUCAUAGCAGUGUUCUCCCAAUGGAUGCAAUGGACAUUCAGGAACUACAAGAGAUAAGUCUAUCUCAAAUAUUUGCCCAUCAGAAUACUAUUGCCAGUAGUUCAGUAGUUUUUAUGUGUAUAUAUAUAUAAGGAGGUAAUUAGGCUGCUAGGUAGAUGAGGACCCAAUAUCUGAGCCGUACGCGAAGGCAACUGGUAGAGGCCAUUUGAGCAGCAUGUCAUUGGAAGCAUUUUAAAAGUAAAAAUUUUUUAGUCUUAGCAAUAAAACAAAAAAAUCCUGUCAAAUGUAACUGUUAUAUUUGAAACAUCGAAUCAGCGACCAUAUCUUGUGAUAAUUUUAAACAUGUUUUGGUUGAUUAAAAAAAUUCUCAAUUAAUGUUUGAAA